AGAGUUUGAUCAUGGCUCAGAUUGAACGCUGGCGGCAGGCCUAACACAUGCAAGUCGAACGGUAACAGAGAGUAGCUUGCUACUCUGCUGACGAGUGGCGGACGGGUGAGUAAUGUCUGGGGAUCUGCCUGAUGGAGGGGGAUAACUACUGGAAACGGUAGCUAAUACCGCAUAAUGUCGCAAGACCAAAGCGGGGGACUUUCGGGCCUCGCACCAUCAGAUGAACCCAGAUGGGAUUAGCUAGUAGGUAGGGUAAUGGCUUACCUAGGCGACGAUCCCUAGCUGGUCUGAGAGGAUGACCAGCCACACUGGAACUGAGACACGGUCCAGACUCCUACGGGAGGCAGCAGUGGGGAAUAUUGCACAAUGGGCGCAAGCCUGAUGCAGCCAUGCCGCGUGUAUGAAGAAGGCCUUCGGGUUGUAAAGUACUUUCAGUCAGGAGGAAGGGUGUGAAAUUAAUACUUUCAUGCAUGACGUACUACAGAAGAG
rnacentral:rRNA from 1 species